CAAGCAGGCAGCAGAGGCAGGAUCUCUAAGGCAGAAUGUAGCUUCUGGGACUGAGCACCCACCCCUGUGGAGCCCAGAAGGAGUCAUACCUUUGUGGGAUGUGGAUUCUUUCAUUGGCUUCAGUGCAGUUAAUUAUUGCAAAGCAUUUGGAACAACUGCAAGAUUUGGACAUCAUUUUUAGUUUCCCACUUAAUCAGAUGAAAAAAUUAAGCUUUUAGCAACAUCUCUGGCUCAAGAGUAAAAUUUGCAGUGUGAAGUUUUAAUUUUUUUUUGCAAAAGCCGUUAUUUCUUAAGAUGACUUUUUUUCCCCUUGUUAUGGUACUGGAGAUAUAACGCAGGGGCACUCUACCACUGAGCUAUACCCCCAGCAACCCUUCUUUAUUUUUAUGUUGAGGCAGGCUUUUGCUAAGUUCCUGUAACUGGCCUUGAACUUGGGAUCCUCCUGCCUCAGCCUCCUAAGUUGCUGGGAUUACAGUUAUGUGCUACCUUACCUGGUAAGAUGAUUAUUUUUGUUUUAUUUUUGGUGCUGGGAAUUGAACCCAGAACCUCACACGUGCUAAGCACAAACUCUACUGCUGAACCACACCCUCAGCCCAAGCAGGAUUGAACAAUGAGUAAAUUUAUUAUUUCAUAUAACAGGGACAAAAGAUACAAAGCGAGUUCUAGGGUGAGUUGAUUCAAUAGCUCAAAGAUGUCAUCAAGGACCCAAAUAUUCUCUCCACUCUGCCCUCUUGCCUGUUUGCCUGACACUAGGGCCAGAGGUGAGAAGGUAUCGGCAGUCUCAGCCCCACACCAGAUCCAAAAUCCAGAGGAAAAAGAGAAAUAACCUCCUCUUGUGGUUUCUUUUAGGACAAAAGAAAAUUUUCUCAAAAGCCCCAUCAGCUGGGCAUGGUGGUGCACUCCUGUAAUCCCAGUGGCUUGGGAGGCUGAGGCAGGGGGAUUACAAAUUUAAAGCCAGACUCAACAAUUUAGCAAGGCCUAAGCAACUCAGUGAGGCCCUAUCUCUAAGUAAAAU
rnacentral:lncRNA from 1 species